UGAGAUUCUUCAGGGUAACCCCACUGCCUU
rnacentral:piRNA from 1 species